rnacentral:lncRNA from 1 species
GAGCGCCAGCGCCGCGGCCGCCGUGGGGUGCUGUGCGUCGGCGGAGCGGGUGGCCAUGUGGAGCCUCGGCGGCCUGCGCCUGGCGGCUGGUGAGACGCGGGUCUGCGGGCGGCAGGAGGGGGCAUCGCCGGUGGGGGUGUCCUGCUUACUGCAACCGUGUGAGGACCGCAGCGCCUUAGCAGACGCGGGGGGCUGGCCGAGACCCUGGUAUCUGGCGCUCAUUCACGCAGCUCCCAUCUUAAGUUAGUGCCUUGAUGCCUCCACCUGGUCCCCAUCCUCCUGUGAGCUCCUAUUAAGAGUUAUCCACGGAAGUAAUGCUUUCCACCCUGACUUUCUCCUAUCCGUUAUUCUACUUGUGCCUUCCUACUUGUCCCUCCCUCUUUAGGUGAGGGACUCAAAGAUCUCACAGAAUACGAGUAAUUGUUGCCUUAAGUUGUGGGUGGUAGUACAUACUUUUAAACAAUAGUGCGGUAAGUGCCGGGACUCUCUUAGGGGAAAGUGUUAUGCUAAUAACGUAAGGUCUAUAGCCUGUUUUCUCAGUAAACAUUGGAGCGGUUGAGUGUUUUGGAGUCUGGUAACGUGAACGUAUCCCGCCUCGGGGAAAUCUAGAGAGCCUUGAAUUAUCAAGUUGAGAAAUCAGAGAGUUUGCAGCUUGUAUCUUGAGGGUCUUUAGAGGGUAGCUUACCUUUUGAUCAUCUUUAUGAACUUUCAUGAUCUAUCCUUUGUUCCAUGGCAUCAAAUUACUACAGAGUUGUUAAAUUUUUAGAGAAAGAAUAGCUCCACGUUUUGUUAUUGGAGUAAUGUAUAUUGUAAAUGUAAUUGAAGCAAUGCAAAAAAAAAAAAAUAGUACAUGGAGAAUAGUUGCGUAAAGAGUAGCCGGUGAAGAGGUUAGAUUUUACCGACUGAAAGACCUUUCAAUGGGUCAGCAUUGCUUACACCCUUAAAAACUCACACCCACUCUGCUCUAGAAAGAAAACGGAGAAAGAGAAAAAGCACUCAUUCUUUUACUGGUUUUGAUUUGUAUCAGUUAAGAUCUAAUCAUCUAAAAUCUCGAUGUGCAUGUUUAUUAAGUAUUACAAAGUUUUCAAAAGAGCAAGCAAAAGAAUCAGCAACCUGUGAGUUAUGUGAAAGUCACUUAAACACUGGCAGUAGUUACUUUUCUAGACUGUAGCACACGUCAUGGAAAGCUAAAGUGUCUUGGAAGAUUUCUGAUGUUUUGGAACUUCUCUGCUGGGCCUCUAACCAAGACAGACUUCCUUGCACAAUUUAACAACAAUUUUACUUCCGAUGGGGAAUGUUUUAAUAGCACACCAAGGAUGUUAUGGGCAACGACUGCCAGGUGAUCUGUGAGUGUCUGGUGUGUUGUGAGCACCUUCCAGUGAUUUCUUUUACUUUUACCUAUUUUAUUAAUAAAAGCGCUUUCUGAUUUACAUUAUCUGAUUUCUACAGCGCCCCCCUUGAAUCUUAUUCCCUCCUGUCUUUAUAAAUAAACAUAAAUCACAGGGCUAAAUAACUUGUGUAGCACCACCUGGUGAUAAAAGUCAGCACCAAAGGAGGGCAGUGAGUUUGUGUUAUCCGAGUUCCUUGCUGCUGUUGAUGCUGCUGCUGGAAUAUGCGCAUGUGUAAGUUAACCAUCUUAUAGCCAGAUGGAGCUUUUUUGUUUUCUUUUGGGACAUUCACUAUGUAGCUCCGGCUGCCAUGGACCUCACUAUGUGGACCAGGCUGGUCUCACAGAUACCCUCCCCGGUGCAGCUGGGGCUCCUUAAGGUGAAAUGCAGAUGUGUUUGUGAGGUGGACAUACACUUUCAUACACAAAUGGACUUUCAAGAACCAACUGCGAUUUGAUAAAUAACAUUGACCAAGUGUGUGGCAGCUCAAUUAGAAAUGUAAUCUAGGCAUUGUUUUCUUAUUCAGAAUACUAUUCAGAAUAAGGUCCUCAAUUUAAGCAGUGGAGCUGUGCGUAACCGCUUCCUUUGGAACUCCUGGGUGGACUCCCUUCGCAAACAGCCUAGAGGGUUUAUGGGCUUUAGUUGCUUGUUGCAUGAAUGUAGUUGUAGAUAGAUGCAGGUCAAAGUUGUUACAGAAUUGCUACAGGUGAGAGGUCUUGUGAGCUUCUGAAAUCAUGUUCUGACGUUUAUGAUCAUGUACUAGGAAGAGGGACCGAGGCUUAACGUCCAUAUCCCAGCAGUGCCGGUUCUCUUAAGAAGCACAACUGUUAAGACUCCGAGGCUAACUAGCUUCUCACCCACCCUGCCAUGACUUCCAUUAGCAUCAAGAUUAGCUUUGCCAUAGAGUUACUAAGUUCUCAGCUCUUACAAGUAUCUGUUAGUACAUAUUGUUUCGAUGGAAGGACUCUAGGAAAUAUCUUGGAUUAAGCAAAUAUAAGGUAAGUUUUCACAUCUCUUUUCUCCUGAAAGCUGAAUAAAAUAGAUACAACUUUUAAGAUAUUGUAUCUUUAUUUAGAUGUGUGUUGUAUGUGGAGUCUGUGUACACAUUUUGUGCCCGGGUGAAGGCCCAAGAAGGACAUGGGUUUCCUGCUCCAUCACCCUACUUUAUUCCCUCACUGAGCCUGGAACUAGGCUGGCAGCCAGCAAACCCAGAGAUCCUCAGGUCUCCACCCCUCACCGCGCUGUUCCUUACAGCACUAAGGAGCCACACCUGGCUCCUUACGUAAGGGUAGAGGAGUCAGACUUAUCCACUGAUCCAUCUCCUCGGCUCCAAGACAUUGUAGCUUUCAGUAGGGUGAUUGAGUCAGAAGAAUGAAUAGACUUACAUAGUAUUCUUCGUACCUUGAAGAAGUUCUGUUGCCCUGUGCUCCAUUGACUUGUCAGCUUUUACAGUGACCUUUUCAUGGCUGUCACCAGUGCAGAAACCAUGGGCUUCCCCUGUCUAACCCAUAUCCCAGAGCACUGAAGCCAAGCAGUAUUUGAGAAGUCAUCUAGUCCCUUAAUGUAUGCAGAUGAAGGAACUUAGUACUGCUUUUGGCUUCUUGCCAGUGCCUCAUUACUUACCCAGCUGUCCUGGAACCCUCAGCCUCUGAGCACUGGGAUGUCAGUGUGCACCGCCACCCUGGCUGCAGGAGGAAACAUACGGCAUAGGAAGGGAACUUGCUUGCUAAGGGUCACGUAGGUUCAAAGCUGGGACAUAACCAAUAUCUGCCUCCCACUCUGAUUUUAGUUCUGCUCCAGUUUGCUCCUUCAUUGUUCUUUUAUCUGUUCUUGCUAACGAACCCUAAAUGAGAUCACAUCCAUUAUAACUACUACAAUUUUGACUUUGCUUAUCAUAUUGCUCCAGGUAAUGCCAGUGAGUUUCUAUUUGAGCGUACACCGUGUGCCCCAUACACUGCCAACUUCCUAGGGCUUUUUAUUGCAGUGUAUAAACCAACCCAUAUAAUACAGCUAGAGAGCAUACAGCAUGUAUUAGGCUCUAGGUUACAGAGCAUACUGAGUGCUGCUGAGCUGGGUCCUGCUGGCAUUGUGCACUUACCCCAACUUCAAAAAUGGUAAUGUCAUCUCGGCAGCUUGAAAUCUGCUGUGGUCACUUGAAAGCACUAUAGGUCAGGGACUCCCUGCCCCUUUCUUCCUCCCAGGGGGCAGUACACUACUGACUUUAGAAUUUAGAGGAAGGGAAAGGUUAAGGAGAUAGGAUUAUCAACUGAAGGCUUCUGGGAAACAGGAAGUGAUUUGAGCAAAGAAAAGAGGUAGUUAGGAGUCUGGAGAGGUGUAAAACAGGAAAAGCAGCAAGGAAAAAUUCAUAUUACCUUGGAGCAUUACGGGGGGAAGUGUGAGCUUGUAAAGAGUUGGAGCCAGAUGAAUUUUGGCAACAAGAGAAGGAUUCAAAAAAAAGCUGUAGCAUUAAAAAGGCAGCUGUG